UACGUAGGGCGCAAGCGUUGUCCGGAAUUAUUGGGCGUAAAGAGCUCGUAGGUGGCUUGUCACGUCGGGUGUGAAAGCUUGGGGCUUAACUCCAGGUCUGCAUUCGAUACGGGCUGGCUAGAGGUAGGUAGGGGAGAACGGAAUUCCUGGUGUAGCGGUGAAAUGCGCAGAUAUCAGGAGGAACACCGGUGGCGAAGGCGGUUCUCUGGGCCAUUACUGACGCUGAGGAGCGAAAGCGUGGGGAGCGAACAGG
rnacentral:rRNA from 1 species